UGGGGGAUAUUGCACAAUGGGCGAAAGCCUGAUGCAGCGACGCCGCGUGGGGGAUGAAGGCUUUCGGGUUGUAAACCUCUUUCGCUAUCGAACAAGGCCCGCUUAGGGUGGGUUGAGGGUAGGUGGAGAAGAAGCGCCGGCUAACUACGUGCCAGCAGCCGCGGUAAUACGUAGGGCGCGAGCGUUGUCCGGAAUUAUUGGGCGUAAAGGGCUUGUUGGCGGCUUGUUGCGCCUGCUGUGAAAACGCGGGGCUUAACUUCGCGCGUGCAGUGGGUACGGGCAGGCUUGAGUGUGGUAGGGGUGACUGGAAUUCCAGGUGUAGCGGUGGAAUACGCAGAUAUCUGGAGGAACACCGAUGGCGAAGGCAGGUCACUGGGCCAUUACUGACGCUGAGGAGCGAAAGCAUGGGUAGCGAACAGG
rnacentral:rRNA from 1 species